rnacentral:rRNA from 1 species
CCCUUAGAUGUUCUGGGCCGCACGCGCGCUACACUGACGAAUGCAACGAGCUUAUAACCUUGGCCGAAAGGUCUGGGUAAUCUCCAAAUUUCGUCGUGAUGGGGAUAGAUUAUUGCAAUUAUUAAUCUUCAACGAGGAAUACCUUGUAAGCGCGGGUCAUCAUCCCGCGCUGAAUACGUCCCUGCCCUUUGUACACACCGCCCGUCGCUCCUACCGAUUGAGUGGUCCGGUGAGGCUUUGGGAUCUGAGCGGAAAGAGCGUUUCGCUGUUUCUGCCCGGAAAACUCAGUCGAACCUUAUCAUUUAGAGGAAGGAGAAGUCGUAACA